AUGUUCAAGAAGAAGCCAUCCGCUUCUCACCUUAUGGCUCAAGUCGAUAAGGUAUCUUUAGGUCCUGAGUAUAUUUGUGCUCAUGAUUUGUUUAGAGAGACGGGUGGUAAUUCACCCGUCUUAUUUAUUUUUU
rfam:Desulfitobacterium metallireducens DSM 15288, complete genome.